rnacentral:rRNA from 1 species
AGCAGAACGGGCGAUUCGGGAUGAACCGGAAGCGGGGAGAAGGGCCCGAGAUUGCGUCGACGCGGAUCCCGAAAAGGGCGUCGAUCCGUCGCGACAGCGGGACGGUGGUCAUGGAAGUCGAAAUCCGCUAAGAAGCGUGUAAAAACGUACCCGCCCAACGGAUCGGCCCCGAAAAUUGAUGGCGCUCGAACGCAACCCUCGAACCCCGCCGACGGAGGCUAGGGGAGGCCCCGUCGAGUAGGCGGACGCGCGGGUUCGCUUCGACGCUCUCGCGCGAGCGGGGGCGGAGCGGCCCGUGGUGCAGAUCUUGGUGGUAGUAGCGAUCACCCAGGCGAGAACCCUGAGGGCCGAAGUGGAGAAGGGGUUUUCUCGGAGAACGGCACUCGCUCGAGAGUUAGUCGAUCCUAAGCUGCCGGCGGCAGCCACGAAACGGUCGAUCGGG